AACUACUGCCCCUGUGACAACAACUACUGCCCCUGUGACAACAACUACUGCCCCUGUGACAACAACAACAACCCCUGACGCUGUUACUUACGUCGUAUCAGGAAGCUUGUUGAAUGAAGUUUUUACAGAUGACUUGCUCUCCACCUCCAGCCCUCGAUUCAUACAACUUUCACAAAGAGUUUCCGCUCGUUGUAAUCAAAUAUAUCGAGCAAGAUUUGGUUCUGACUUUGACCGGUGCAUUGUGAGACAGUUCAGGGCUGCUCAAGCUCAACAAACACGAAUGGCUGGAACUGAAGUAGAGCUUUCAGUUGUGUUCAAUCGGUCUGCUCCUGCUUCAGCACUCCCAAUGAAUUCUGCUGUUGCUCAAACCUUAGUUGAUGCUGCAAAUGAUUCCAAUGCCUCCAAUGUGACCUUUGAUGCCUCUUCAGUUCAACUAGUAUCGGGUCCAGUUCCUGCAACUACUACUGCCACACCUGAAACAGCUGUAACCACAUCUGCUGCAACAUCGACUGCCCCAGUGACAACAACUACUGCCCCAGUGACAACAACUACUGCCCCUGUGACAACAACUACUGCCCCAGUGACAACAACUACUGCCCCUGUGACAAC